CACGUAGGGGGCGAGCGUUGUCCGGAUUUAUUGGGCGUAAAGAGCUCGUAGGCGGCUCAGUAAGUCAGGUGUGAAAACUCCAGGCUCAACCUGGAGACGCCACCUGAUACUGCUGUGGCUAGAGUCCGGUAGGGGAGCAUGGAAUUCCUGGUGUAGCGGUGAAAUGCGCAGAUAUCAGGAGGAACACCGGUGGCGAAGGCGGGUCUCUGGGCCGUAACUGACGCUGAGGAGCGAAAGCAUGGGGAGCGAACAGG
rnacentral:rRNA from 1 species